rnacentral:rRNA from 1 species
AUCAGUGGUGAUUGCCAAAGGGGUCCACCUGUUCCCAUUCCGAACACAGAAGUUAAGCCUUUGAACGUCGAAAAUACUUGGUGGGAGACCGCCCGGGAAGAUAGAUAGCCGCUGAUC